GGGGAUUCAGGAAGCCAUUUCCUGAAAUACACACAUACAUUUACACAAACCCACAACACAGAAACUGGGGAACGUAAGGCACUUUUCAAAUGGAAUUGGCUGACAGGUCAGGAAUCUCUCAGACAACCUUUAUGCCAGACGUGUUAGGAGGUAUAAUUUAAUUGAUGUACCUCUACAUAAAGUUUCCUUACACGGUGGGUGAACAGGCAAAUAAAAAAGUGCAAUUUGCAGCAAUGUCUGGUUUCCCAAAUGUAAUUGGUGCUAUUGACUGCACUCAUGUUGCUAUACAGGCACAGAGUGAGAAUGAAUUUGCUUUCAAUAAUCGAGUGGCUCGGUGGCCUGGGUCAACCCAUGACUCAUUCAUAUGGAGCAACAGCAGUGUUGGGCGCAGACUUGAGGCCGGAGCUGUGCGUGUUGGCUGGCUUCUAGGCGACAGUGGAUAUCCCCUCAAGUGGUGGCUGCUCACCCUUUUCGCCAACCCACAGAGCGCAGAGGAGGGGAACUACAACUUGCGCCAUUGGCAAGGCAACCAAAAAGAAGGCACUGGCUGUCAUUGGCGAACCCUCCCACCCUCUACACCCUCAGUUCGAGAGGCUUACUUCGGACCGGUGCUUCAGAACGCCCAUGGCCAAGAAGAAUGUGUUCAAACAUUAAUUUGUUCCUUAUGCUGUUGGACUACUAAAAAAGUAAAGUAAAUUAUAUUGGUAUCUGGACUUAUCUAUCUAGUGCAGUUGGGACCGUGGUUGUUGUGAGUGAAUGUAUUAAUGUCCUCUGUUGUUGUGUAUGCAACAUGAUGCACUGACUGGUUUAAAUGUGUAUGAUGUGAGAAUGUAUGUGUAUGUGAUUGGUUUAAUGAAGGUGAUGCCAAAGAAAAAUGGCCAUCCUGGAUGGACAAUAAAGUUUUAUUCAAUGACA